UGCCAGCCUCCUCGGUAAUGCUAAGUGGGCUAUCUUGGUUCGGAAUUACUGGGCGUAAAGCGCACGUAAGCGGACUUUUAAGUCAGAUGUGAAAUCCCGGGGCUCAACCUCGGAACUGCAUUUGAAACUGGAAGUCUGGAGUUCAGGAGAGGUUAGCGGAAUACCGAGUGUAGAGGUGAAAUUCGUAGAUAUUCGGUGGAACACCAGUGGCGAAGGCGGCUAACUGGACUGAUACUGACGCUGAGGUGCGAAAGUGUGGGGAGCAAACAGGAUUAGAUA
rnacentral:rRNA from 1 species